UACAGAGGGGGCAAGCGUUGUUCGGAAUUACUGGGCGUAAAGGGCGCGUAGGCGGCCCACUAAGUCGAACGUGAAAUCCCCGGGCUCAACCCGGGAACUGCGUCCGAUACUGGUGGGCUUGAAUCCGGGAGAGGGAUGCGGAAUUCCAGGUGUAGCGGUGAAAUGCGUAGAUAUCUGGAGGAACACCGGUGGCGAAGGCGGCAUCCUGGACCGGCAUUGACGCUGAGGAGCGAAAGCCAGGGGAGCAAACGGG
rnacentral:rRNA from 1 species